ensembl:lncRNA
ACACGAGCACCGCUGUGAGCGCGAAGGGUCUACUGUGUGCUUUUAUAAACGCUUCAAAAAUCCCGCAAAUGCCAAUUCUGACACGCAGGUUUAGAGUUAUACUGAAACCAGUGGCCAUAUCUGUAUCACGUUCAGUUCAAAAUACUGUGUGCUAUGUACAGCAACAUGCUAUAACUUACAAGGCAUUUUUCCAGCAGAGUAAUUCUUUAUCCAAAUGCCAGAUGAUGUCUUCUCGAUGUGCUAGGUGAGAUUAAAGCAUCUGCUUUCUACUACAGCUCCACCCGAGUUUCUGCCCUGAAACAUAUAAUGACUGUAUUUAGAAAGGAGUGGUGUAGCAGUUGGGUACAGCUGCAGUUACCUUGCCGCUGAGUGUGAGGCAGGCAGAAUACUCCAGCAAAGCGUACUUUACAAGAAGUAACAAAUGCAACAGCAAAUUCAAAAUAAUUACUGCCCCAGGAGCUUUGCCAUUGGUACCAAAACAGCAAAUCAAAUAUUUAGGAUUUCCUGUGUUUCCAUUUUAAGAGUAUUCUUGAUCUGGUUAAAUGACCAGUAAAUGUUCAGUCAACAUUCAGUAUGUUAAAAAUAUAUUGGUACUGUUUUACAUAUAUGCUUUCAUUCCUUUGUAAGGCUGAAUGCCUUGAAUGACAUUGAAAGUGAGCAUUGCUUAAGUAUACAUGAGUUUACUUAUUCAGGCUGUAAGACAGAAAAUAUUAGUGAGGGAAACUAAAAAUGAAAAUAUUCAAAACACAUCAUAUUGAUAUUACAAGUACAUUAUACCCAGAGUGACUUUUUGGCUGUACUGCAUAGAGAUAAAAUUUGAAAAUACUGAAGACAGCAUCCUCUCUUCUAUGUCUCAUUACAAAGUAGUUAAGUCUUCUGGCUCCAUCUGAAAAAUUCCAGAAGAAUGUUAAAAAAGGAGGAAAUGGAGAGACAGGUAAAUACCAUCUAUAAAAGAGAGGGCUGUGCUUACCACACUUGUCACAGAGUCAUUAGAAUUUGUUGGAAACUGCACAAAGAUGAAUUCUUUGACAUCAAAAACCUUUCUUACAGCAUUUUCUGUGGCAAUGAGUCCAGCUGAAAGCACAAUACAGCUGUCUUGCUCACUUCAUGCUUAAGAUUCAUACCACAAAGCAAAGAUAAAUCCCGGCUCUACUGGAAUCAAUAGUUCUGCCACUACCUCCACAUCAGCCAGGAUUUCAUAACAGGUUUUUAUAAGGCUAUGCCGUAACAACAUUAUUUUUCAUGUAGAACAAUCAGCUUUUGUCACAAAUGUUUGUCCAAAUGAAAAAUGUCUACAAACUGCAGCCACAACUGCAAGUUGAUUUAUCAAGACUUCCUUGAUAAAUCUGACUUACCUCAGCCUGCAUUUUGGGCUGCCAAAUCUGCUAAAACACAUUUUGCAAUUAGAAGGCCAAAUACAGGUUUCCAUUUUAUCUUUCUUCAG